rnacentral:sRNA from 1 species
CACCGCCUGGGGAGUACGACCGCAAGGUUAAAACUCAAAUGAAUUGACGGGGACCCGCACAAGUAGUGGAGCAUGUGGUUUAAUUCGAAGAUACGCGCAGAACCUUACCAACACUUGACAUGUUCGUCGCGACCUUAAGAGAUUAAGGUUUUCGGUUCGGCCGGACGAAACACAGGUGCUGCAUGGCUGUCGUCAGCUCGUGUCGUGAGAUGUUGGGUUAAGUCCCGCAACGAGCGCAACCCUCACUUUUAGUUGCCAUCAUCUAGUUGGGCACUCUGAAAGAACUGCCAGUGAUAAGCUGGAGGAAGGUGGGGAUGACGUCAAGUCCUCAUGGCCCUUACGUGUUGGGCUACACACGUGCUACAAUGGCAUCUACAAUAGGAAGCAAAAUGGCGACAUUGAGCAAAUCCUAAAAAGAUGCCUCAGUUCGGAUUGCACUCUGCAACUCGAGUGCAUGAAGCUGGAAUUACUAGUAAUCGCGGAUCAGCGCGCCGCGGUGAAUACGUUCCCGGGUCUUGUACACACCGCCCGUCACACCAUGGGAGUUGGCUCUACCUUAAGGCAGAGUUUAAAACCUCUGACCACGGUAUAGUCAGCGACUGGGGUGAAGUCGUAACAAGGUAGCCGUAGGGGAACCUGCGGCUGGAUUACCUCCUUUCUAAGGAUGGUUAAGAAAAAUUUCUUAACCUAAAUAAUUAACAGGUUAAUGUUGACCGUCCUCAUUUCUCUUCUUAAAAGUGUUUCUCUUUACUGAAUAGGGGCCGGUAGCUCAGUUGGUUAGAGCACACCCUUGAUAAGGGUGGGGUCGAAAGUUCGAGUCUUUCUCGGCCCACCAUUUUAUUUGGGGGAUUAGCUCAGCUGGGAGAGCGCCUGAUUUGCAUUCAGGAGGUCAGCGGUUCGAUCCCGCUAUCCUCCACCAGAAACAUUUAGCUAUUAAAAUUGUGAAUAAAUAAAUAAUAUCAAUAUCUAUAUCCGAUUGUUCGAAUAGAUGAACAAUCAAGAAUGUUCGAAAAGAUGAACAUUCCAACAAAAUUUGAUUCAACACAGAAUUUUUUUCUG